rnacentral:pre_miRNA from 1 species
UAUAAGAGAUUUUGAGUUGUUACUUAUAACGUUUGACCACUCGUCUUAUUCAAAAAAUUUUAAGAUUAUUAUUUAUUUUAUUUGUGACUUACUUUAUUAUUUACAGUAUUUUAAGCACAACUUUUUAUUUUUUAUAUUUGCAAAAAAAAAUUGAAUAAGACGAGUGGUCAAACGUUGCAAACAGAAACUCAAAAUACUCAAA